AUGAACUUCCAGCCCCGGCAAAGACUGUCACCUGCUGAACCAACAUGUGAUAGGGAGAUCAUAGAGGUGAGUUAACGUGCUGGUUCUAGCCUAGCCCUUUAUUGAAUGAUUUGACUAGCUCGCAAAAGAGUUGAAAAGUGGAUGAAACAAAAAGAAAAUGGUUGGCCUCUUAAUCAUGUGCCCCUUUCCAUUUCCGUAUUCUCCAAUGAUUAUGAAAAGACCGCUAGCUAUAGAGCCAGGUAGUAGCUAUCUAUAAUCGUUGGCGAAAGUGCUAAAAGAAUCCCUCUAUAUAGCUAUAUCGAAAAAAGGACGAACGUACCAUCUUUGAGGUCGGUCAACUAAAGAGAGGACUUUCCGGGUGUUGAUGACUGAGUAGCGGAUUCUAUUUCCAGCAGCAUAGUAUAUAUUAUAGGGAUAUCUGUCCGAAAAACAUCUGCUUUAGAGUGAGUUUCUCUCAUUCCUGCCCGGACCGUCACAUCAUGCAAUUACCGUAAUAAACCACUUACGAAGAGAAGAGAUCUUGUCUGCCUUUAGCGAAUCCUAAAAUGCCAGUAAAUUCACUGCUAUAGCUUCACUUACUGCCAGUUGAUAGUGCGUUUAAAAGGCAGGAUUGGGAUAGGAAAUGAAAACUAGAAUUCCGGGAAAGGGCAUUAGCUAAAUCCCAGCCAGGCAGUUGAAACACCUCCCCGAAGGGCCUACCUUAUUUAUGAGUUAAGAGUUAAGGCAAGCAAGUGAUCACUAAAUCUUACUGAGUCCGAUGGAUCCAAUAGUCUUUCAAUACAUAAUAGUACAAUGGGAUCAU
rnacentral:misc_RNA from 1 species